rnacentral:rRNA from 1 species
CCUACGGGUGGCUGCAGUGGGGAAUAUUGGGCAAUGGAGGAAACUCUGACCCAGCAACGCCGCGUGAAUGAAGAAGGUCUUCGGAUUGUAAAGCUCUUUAGUCAGGGAAGAAGUCAAUGAUGGUACCUGAAGAAUAAGCUCCUGCUAACUAUGCGCCAGCAGCCGCGGUAAUACGUAGGGAGCAAGCGUUGUUCGGUAUGACUGGGCGUAAAGGGUGCGAAGGCGGGUGUACUAGUUAGAAGUGAAAUAGCCAGGGCUUAACUCGGGUGCUGCUUCUCAAACUGGAUGACUUGAGUGCAGUAGAGGUAAGUGGAAUUCCUAGUGUAGCGGUGGAAUGCGUAGAUAUUAGGAGGAACACCAGAGGCGAAGGCGGCUAACUGGACUGCAACUGACGCUGAGGCACGAAAGUGUGGGGAGCAAACAGGAUUAGAUACCCCUGUAGUC